rnacentral:lncRNA from 1 species
UACUGGUGUAACAUACCAGAUUUUUGUAUAAAAAUAAAAAUAAAUAAAAAUAGUUUAGGAUACUAUUUUUAUUGGAUUUAGAGAAGUAAAAUAUAAGUCAGAAAUGACUUGUACUGAAAUCGGAAUGAAAACAGAAAAUUUAAAAUUUUCUGUUGGAAACGGGACAAAUAAAUUAGCAGAAAAUGCACAGUGUCAGAAAAUUAUGAAAACUGGAGGAUAAGUCAAAAUUAUUUUUAUGAGGAUAGAUUUAAAGUUUCAUGCCAUUCUGACACCCGGAAGGUGAAAAAUAAAAUCCGACAGUUAUCUGAUAAAAAUUACAGUUCGGUACAGAUUUCGAUGACCAAACGGGGUCAAAAUUGAAAGAUUAAAAUUUCUUUCGUUAAGUUAAGUAAAACCGAAUAUGACUGUCAAAUUUGAGCUCAAACGGAUAUUCAGGGAGCUUCGGCGAAAGAUAUCAGAUUUCGAACUGCCCGGAGAUGAAUAGUGUUUUGAGGGUGUUAAUUAAAGAAGCCUUG